AAGUAUGAAGAGAAUGUCGGGAGAGGAAGUGGUGGCUAUGAGUCAGCAUGAGUCAUCUCGUUCCAAUGAGAAUGAAGGCUGAGACAAGCGGUGCCUGAGCCCGUGCCUGUCUUCAGAUCUUCACAGCACAGUUCCUGGGAAGGUGGAGCCACCAGCCUCUCCCUGACAAGCAAAGUGGAUCAGCAAAGGCUGCAGUCACCAGCAUCUUUUCCAACCUUAAUGAACUGUAUCCUCAAAAGAACACUAUCAGACUGGCUCUGCCGACUUCCAGUUCUGGAACAAGAUGGUUAAACUCAUUUUUCCCUGCUCUGCUCCUCUAAAUACAACUAAGUACCUUGGAAACUAUUCAGCAGACAAUGAUAAAGGGCUCUGAAAGCUAGAAGAAAAGGUGUACUUGCAAGAAACCUCAGGACUUGAGUAACAGCAACAUGGCAGGCCAGAAAGCAGACCCAGGGAGGAUAGCACAUGUCUUCGGCUACACUGGUGAAGGCAUCGUGCCUGCUCCACAGCACAUUUUUAUUCAAGGAAAGGAGAAAGAGACUACCUACUGCAUUUCUGUCACUCGCUGAAAAGGACACUCUGUCAGAAAAUCUUCUAGCAAACUUCAAAGGGCAAAAUCACCCCUUGUUACUGAUAAAGCCCAGAGAGCUUCAGCAGCUAACAUUCCCUGGACAGGGCACAGCAAGGAUUUGAACCUAGGUCAGUCUGGCCAGAACACCCACAAGCUUUCCUUAACUCAGUGUGCUAUCUCCCCACGACUAGGUCACUACUGCUUUAUAAUCACCUUUGUAGCCACCAGUGGAUUUUGCUCAUCAGUAUUUUUCAGGCAAUUGAUACUUUAGAUAUUCAGCUGCAAGACGUAUGCAGUUUUCAUUGACAUCUUUUGGAGAAACUGACAAACCUGGACUUGACUUAAUGCCUUUGGAACCUUCCAAGAUGUUAUAUAACUCUAGAUAGAAGGCUGGGCCUCCAUGAUGUCAGGAAUGUUGCAUUCUUAUUUCCCCAUAGAUAAACCCAUUUGUCCACAAAGUCAAGGAGUCAGGCAGAGGCCCUUGCCAUGGGGCUUUUUAGGAUAAAGCAACAAGCCUGGACUUUGCUCUACAACAGGGUUUUGCAUAGGGAGUGGUAUGACCAGAUCCCUCAAGAAAGAAAGCUUAGAGACCAGGCCAGAGUCCACUGCAGUAGCCCAGUCAAGAGAGGAUGGUGACUUGGACUUGUAGUAGAGCCAGUUAGAAUGAAAGAAAUUGACACAUUCAGAAAUGGUUUUAGAGAUAGAGUCAAACUGGACCUGAUAAAGAACUAGAGAAGCGGAGUGAGGAUAAAGAGAAGAGCCAUGACUGACUCGGAAGAUUUUGUCUUGAAAAACUUGAGAACUCAAGACAGAGUGAAAUAAAAUCACAUGUGGGAAAAAUC
rnacentral:lncRNA from 1 species